UUGAACGCUGGCGGCAUGCUUUACGCAUGCAAGUCGAACGGCAGCGCGGGCUUUGGCCUGGCGGCGAGUGGCGAACGGGUGAGUAAUACAUCGGAACGUGCCCAGUAGUGGGGGAUAGCUCGGCGAAAGCCGGAUUAAUACCGCAUACGACCUGAGGGUGAAAGCGGGGGAUCUUCGGACCUCGCGCUAUUGGAGCGGCCGAUGGCAGAUUAGCUAGUUGGUGGGGUAAAGGCCUACCAAGGCGACGAUCUGUAGCUGGUCUGAGAGGACGACCAGCCACACUGGGACUGAGACACGGCCCAGACUCCUACGGGAGGCAGCAGUGGGGAAUUUUGGACAAUGGGCGAAAGCCUGAUCCAGCAAUGCCGCGUGUGUGAUGAUGGCCUUCGGGUUGUAAAGCACUUUUGGCGGGAACGAAAAGGACUGUGCCAAUACCACGGUUCGAUGACGGUACCCGCAGAAUAAGCACCGGCUAACUACGUG
rnacentral:rRNA from 1 species